GGAGUGAUUUUAAAGGAUAAUUUAAUUAUUUUUACUAUCCUUUUUAUAGUGAAAUUAUUUAAAGAGAAAGGUUUACAAUUUUGAAACUUUCAUAAUAAUAUAAAUAGCAUUAACCUUAUAAAAAUAUAUAUGAAUAUGAUAAUAAAUUAGUUAAAGUAAUUACUUUUAUUUUAACUCUUCUUCAAGAAUGUCAUCAUUUCUUUUAUUUUCCUUAAAAAUAAAAACAAAAAAGCCAAAAACAAAAGAAAAGAAAACAAACAUUAUUAAUUCAUUAUUGUACAUUUAUACUUGUAAAUAGAAGGUGGACUCGAAGAGUCUGGAAGGAGAGCGAGAGAGAAGAAGACGAUGACGACUCGAAUAGCUCCGGGGGUCGGAGCGAACCUGCUCGGCCAACACUCUGCUGAAAGGGACCAAGAAGCCACCGUCUACGUCGGCAACCUCGAUCCUCAGUAUAAAGCCAUUCUGUGUUGCAUAAGUUACUAGUGGUUGUGAUUACCGGAUAUCCUUUUUCAUAUCAAAGGUAACUGAAGAGUUACUGUGGGAAUUGUUUGUUCAAGCAGGCCCUGUUGUUAAUGUUUAUGUCCCCAAGGAUAGAGUCAUGAAUCUUCAUCAAGGAUAUGGCUUUAUUGAAUUCCAAAGUGAAGAAGAUGCCGACUAUGCUAUAAAAGUUCUAAAUAUGAUUAAACUUUAUGGGAAGCCCAUACGAGUGAAUAAGGCGUCCCAAGAUAAAAAGAGCUUGGAUGUUGGAGCCAACCUUUUUGUUGGCAAUCUUGACCCUGUAAGAUUGUAGAUUUUUGAAACUACUUGCUCAAACCUACAUCCACUUUGAUUCAACAUAUGUUAUGUAUGUGUGAAUAUAAGUGUGUGUGUGUGUGUGUGUGUGUGUGUAUAUCCAAAAUCUGUCACACUACAGACAAGCAAUCCUAUCCAUACAUGUAUUACAGACUCCUGCUAUAUACCUGUACAGUUCAACUCUUGCAACUCUGAAACUGACUCCCACACAUUUUUUGCUGGAUGUGGAUGAGAAACUUCUGUAUGAUAGUUUCAGUGCAUUUGGAGUCAUUGUCACAAACCCAAAGGUCAUGCUUCUUCUGCUUUUUUCUUUAAUUUUCAUGAUAUUAUAGCUGUGUACUUCCGAGUCUUCGGCUCAAUUAGUAUCUCCUUCUCCUUCCACGUGGUGGGUUGAGGGUUCAACUAGUUUGUCUGUGUGUAUAUCUUACCUACCAAAAGAAGAUACAUGCAGCAGAUUUGUUGUUAUAUACCUAGAAUUGAGAAACAAUUGCUACAAUCUUCCCUUUCUUAAAAGUUUAUUGCAUCCCGUUUUCAUAUGUUUAGAUUGUUGGCCUUCUGUUUAGAAAAUUCUACUACAUAUGCCAUAAACACCGGCCUUUCUUUUGCCUAUGUAUGUUUUCUUGAUCAGUAUGAGAUAAGUUUUGGUUAAGAGAAUUAAGGGGCUCUGGGAAUCUUAAGAAUUGGUCCAUGCCACGGUCCCAGUUCAUUUUAUUUGCUAGUGCACAGGAAAACUAAAACCAACUCUAUUUGUAAAUUAGGCUUCUUUUUUCACAUGGUUGCAACUAGGCCAGGUUCAAUUUGGUCCCCUCUGAACCUUUAGCAUGGCUAGGCAUGUGUGAUUGUAAACCCAACCCAACCUGACUUUUGGAUGGUUUUGGGCAGAUAUCUCACAAUGUUUUGUAUAUAUACACUUCCUCUCCUAAGUCAGGGGAUCUUUGGGCUUAGGUUGGAGGUUUUAUUAAAUCAUUGUGGCUCUACCACUCUAGUAUGAAUCUGAGGUAAAAAAAUAAAAUAAAAUGGUCCAUCAUUUCUUUUGUGGAUGGCACAAUAGAUGUUCAAUUUGGAAAAUCAAUAUACAAAGAAAAUUUCAAAAUUCCCAUCUUCAAUAGAUAUAAAUGGAUUAAUUAAUGUGAAAAAUGCUUUUGGAUUUCACUGAAGUGUCAAUGCAUCGAAUGCUUGUUUCCCUAGAGUUGGAAUUUCUAAGAUGAAAUACUUUCUUUGGACAGGAAAUAUUUGAUGUGUUGUUCAUAUAAAUUGUUGAUUUGGAAGUUAAUAUUAUUUGGUAACGACAUUGGUUGCUUCUUUAUAUGUUUUCAUUCUAAUCUAAAUACUAAUCCUUUGGUCUCUCUCUCUCUCUCUCUCUCUCUCUCUCUCUAUGUACAACAUAGCUGCAACACUUCUCUUCCUCAUGCCAAACUAAAGCAAUCGCGGCUUCGCUUGUCUACUGUAUUUCAAGCUUUGGCCUAAGAGUGAAUGGGUAUAUUUGUCCUGAGAAAACUUUUAAUAGGGCAUUUUGGUAAUUUUACAACAUAUAUCUAAGGUCUAAAUAGGCCUUUUCAACAAUUCAAGGGGGUUGAAUAGUUCAUUUCACAGGGUGUCAGGUGAUAGUCCCAAUGACUAGUUAACGGAAGAGGGGUGGUAUCACUCCCCAAACCGUUGCGGGUGUAUGUAUUGGUUUCCGCAGAUAUAGCAGCCGUGUGUAAUAAGGGCAAAGCUCAGUGGCGUCAGUGUAAUUUACACUAAUUACUAUUAUAGUGAUGAAUGUAGGAGUUUCUGUAAAAAUAAUGAUGAUGUUUUAUGUCUGUGACCUUUCUGGUGGAUCUCGUGGUGCAUGUGUUUUAUCUUUCUUUUAUAGGCAACAUUUUAGCAAAUGAAAAUGUAACACCCCCCACAUUUUCCACGCAUAAGUUGAUCAGGCUUAUACAUGAAAAACGAGGGAUAUCAAAAACAAUUGGCAAUAUACAAGCAUGGAAUACAAAAUGAUGAUAACAAAAGAAUUUAGACAGGAAAGGAACACUAAAUAAUACAACAUCCAUCCAUCCUUUAUUUAAUACAGUACUCCAUUACAACUUCAAGGAUCCCUAAAUAUAACCCUGAGAGUUCAACGUCAAAAGUAAAUAAAAACUGAAACUGGAGUAAUACAUAAAACUUCUACCCUGAACUGGAUCGUAAGAGUAGAUGAGUUCGGAUGGUGGUCCCUCACUGCUAACCUCAACCUUGGAACGGGUACUGACAGUAUCCUGAAAUAACAACAAUGGUGGGUCAACCCCACGAGCAAGUCCUCUCUACUAUGACCCAAAUCAGAGAAUCAAAUAAAUUAAUCAUUUAUAUCCGGAUGAGUACUAUAUCUGUAUACAUCCUAAGGGAACCAUCCACUGUAUAACAUGACCUCAACCAGAAUAGACGGUGAUCACUUAGACUCACACUAGGUGGUUAAGUGUCGUCUUUCCCUACCCGGGAAAUCAGCUAUUAUACAUGGUGCACGAUACUGACAACACAGACUAUAACGAACUACACAGUGAUAACACCUCUCAAAGUACUGAUGAAUAUACUGAGCAUAUAAAUUAGGCAACACAUGCCAAUAAUAUUACUAAACAUACUGAGCAUGUCAAUUAGGCAACACAUGCCAAUAAUAUUGAACCACAUACCCCGACAGCCACACAUCUGUCUAUAGCAACGAAUGCAUAAGGUAUAAAUGAGUCUAAACUUAUUAGCCCGCUCACAUGGUUCUAUAUGGCAACACAUCCAUGUAAUAUAAAUGCGACAUAAUUGAAACAGUCCAUUUAUUCCCUGAAAUGCACGCAGCAUAAUAAUCAUGGUUUAUAUACGAUUAACAGUAUAACUAUUCCAUAAUAUAUAAUGGAUCAUUUAUAUGAAUGAAAUCAAGCACUAAUUAACUUAACAUUAAUGGUUUAUUACAGUUUAAUAAAAUAAUAAUACCAUUUACAGUCGUUUAACUUAAUUACAUACGUUUACUAGCGAUUCGCCCUUUAAUUGAUACAAUUAAUAUUUAGAAAUAUUAAUCGGACCAUUAUAAUAGUUAACGAGAAAUAAAAUAAUAAUAUAAUGUCUCGUUAAUUCCAAAAAUGCCAACCCGAGGCCCCAAAAUGUAUAGUGAAGGUCCUGGUAAUGACAA